rnacentral:ncRNA from 1 species
AAAAUAAAAAAAAAAGGAGAAGGUUAGCACUCCCCUUGAUAAGGAUGGAAGAGGCCCUUGGGCCUGACAACACGCAUAUAAUUAAGGCAUUGCCACCUACUUCCUGGCAUCUAACCACUGUUUUUU